rnacentral:rRNA from 1 species
AAUCAACGCUGGCGGCGUGCCUCAGACAUGCAAGUCGAACGAUUAAAGCUCCCUUCGGGGAGUGCAUAGAGUGGCGCACGGGUGAGUAACACGUAAGUAAUCUACCCUCGGGUGGGGAAUAACGUUCGGAAACGGACGCUAAUACCGCAUAAUGCAGCGGCACCGCAAGGUGACAGUUGUUAAAGAUUUAUUGCCUGGGGAGGAGCUUGCGGCAGAUUAGCUUGUUGGUAAGGUAACGGCUUACCAAGGCUACGAUCUGUAUCCGGUCUAAGAGGACGGUCGGACACACUGACACUGAAUAACGGGUCAGACUCCUACGGGAGGCAGCAGUCGGGAAUUUUGGGCAAUGGGGGAAACCCUGACCCAGCAACGCCGCGUGAAGGAUGAAGUAUUUCGGUAUGUAAACUUCGAAAGAAUAGGAAGAAUUAAUGACGGUACUAUUUAUAAGGUCCGGCUAACUACGUGCCAGCAG